CGGGGAGUAGCGCAGCCUGGUAGCGCACGUGCUUUGGGUGCAUGGGGUCGCAGGUUCAAAUCCUGUCUCCCCGACCA
rnacentral:tRNA from 1 species